rnacentral:miRNA from 1 species
CCUAACGUGGAGAGGGGGCGUGGUCUUCAUCCUGCGGACGGCAGACUCCCUGCCCGGGUUUGGCUUUGCUGUCCAGGCCCCUCCGGUCCCCGGUCCGAGCCACCUGCAAAUGAAAUCACCAG